UACAGAGGUCUCAAGCGUUGUUCGGAUUCAUUGGGCGUAAAGGGUGCGUAGGCGGCGCGGUAAGUCGGGUGUGAAAUCUCGGAGCUUAACUCCGAAACUGCAUUCGAUACUGCCGUGCUUGAGGACUGGAGAGGAGACUGGAAUUUACGGUGUAGCGGUGAAAUGCGUAGAUAUCGUAAGGAAGACCAGUGGCGAAGGCGGGUCUCUGGACAGUUCCUGACGCUGAGGCAACGGAAGGCCAGGGGAGCAAACGGG
rnacentral:rRNA from 1 species